rnacentral:rRNA from 1 species
GACGAACCGUGCGAACGUUGUUCGGAUUCACUGGGCUUAAAGGGCGCGUAGGCGGCUUGCCAAGUCAGGGGUGAAAUCUUUCGGCUCAACCGGAAAAGUGCUUCUGAUACUGGCGGGCUGGAGGAGGGUAGGGGCAGAUGGAACUUCCGGUGGAGCGGUGAAAUGCGUAGAUAUCGGAAGGAACGCCGGUGGCGAAAGCGAUCUGCUGGACCCUCUCUGACGCUGAGGCGCGAAAGCCAGGGGAGCAAACGGG